rnacentral:rRNA from 1 species
CCUACGGGUGGCUGCAGUGGGGAAUAUUGUACAAUGGGCGAAAGCCUGAUCCAGCCAUGCCGCGUGUGGGAAGAAGGCCUUCGGGGUGUAAAGCACUUUCAGUGGGGAAGAAAGCCUUGGGGCUAAUACCCUCGAGGAAGGACAUCACCCACAGAAGAAGCACCGGCUAACUCCGUGCCAGCAGCCGCGGUAAUACGGAGGGUGCGAGCGUUAAUCGGAAUUACUGGGCGUAAAGCGCGCGUAGGCGGUCUGAUAAGCCGGUUGUGAAAGCCCCGGGCUCAACCUGGGAACGGCAUCCGGAACUGUCAGGCUAGAGUGCAGGAGAGGAAGGUAGAAUUCCCGGUGUAGCGGUGAAAUGCGUAGAGAUCGGGAGGAAUACCAGUGGCGAAGGCGGCCUUCUGGACUGACACUGACGCUGAGGUGCGAAAGCGUGGGUAGCAAACAGGAUUAGAUACCCGAGUAGUC